ACCGGGCUUUAAAGGAACGCCAAACAAAGCGGGCGCCAGGAGGGGGCUUCCCAGGUGAGCCCGAGACGGGAUCGAAACUCCUCUCCAGUCCACGAAAACGCCCAAGAAUAAGUUGUAGAUGUCCCAUCUCUAAAAAUACUCUUGACUAUUGGAAACGUGGGCACCAGUACACACAGCUGAUGAGCUGCUCUAAGCCAGGGCUUGCUUCCAGCAACUCCCCUCACACCAAAUGAAGAGGGUUUUGUUAUGUUGGUUGUUGUUAGUGAAAGGUUUCUGUUUUGUUUUUUGUUUUGUUUUUGUUUGUUUUUAAACACUCUUGUUGGGUCUUCUACAUCCUAUAUUAUCUUCCUAGGAGAAAGGUUAAUUUUCAUUUCAAAAAUGCGUGUGCUGCUGCACAAAACUCAUAGUGCUUCAUCCUAAAGAUUUUUUUAUGUCCAAAUAUUAAAAUACUAUAAUGAUGCUUUAAUGGAAUAAAAUGUUUGUCCAAUUAACCACUUCUUUGCUAUUUGUUAGAAUCUCUAGGAACAUAGGCCAGUUCCUUAAUGUAGUGUUUGUCCUAAGCCAUUAAAUACUCCAUCUUAAUUUUAUUACAUUAAGAUAUUCAAAAUUAUCUUCUUCAAAUCUUUGUGUCAUGUUUCUUUAUUAGCUUGACUCACAUCAACUGAGUCUCAGCAAGAAAUAAGUUGACAGAUGUUAGACAACUUGAAGGGGAGUUAUUUGUUUUUAAAAAGAUUAAAUAUUCCUGUCUAAUUUAUUUUUAAAUCUCUCUCUCUCUCUCUGUUUUACUGUACUUGGACAGGGUAGGGCUGGAAAAGAAAGCCACGUCCUCCUUUACUGUAUCAGCAGUGAAUUUGCACCACCUUCUGGUAGGUUAGAGAAUGACGAAAACACCCGCUGCUUCCAUAAAAGAAUUCUUUUAUUCACUGUGGUCUGUUGUCC
rnacentral:lncRNA from 1 species